rnacentral:rRNA from 1 species
UACAGAGGGUGCGAGCGUUAAUCGGAAUUACUGGGCGUAAAGCGUGCGUAGACGGUUUUGUAAGUCGGAUGUGAAAUCCCCCGGGCUCAACCUGGGAAUUGCAUUCGAGACUGCAAGGCUUGGGUGCGGAAGAGGGAAGCGGAAUUUCCGGUGUAGCGGUGAAAUGCGUAGAUAUCGGAAGGAACAUCAGUGGCGAAAGCGGCUUCCUGGUCCAGCACCGACGUUCAGGCACGAAAGCGUGGGGAGCAAAC